rnacentral:rRNA from 1 species
UACGGGGGGGGCAAGCGUUGUUCGGAAUUACUGGGCGUAAAGGGCUCGUAGGCGGCCAACUAAGUCAGACGUGAAAUCCCUCGGCUUAACCGGGGAACUGCGUCUGAUACUGGAUGGCUUGAGUGUGGGAGAGGGAUGCGGAAUUCCAGGUGUAGCGGUGAAAUGCGUAGAUAUCUGGAGGAACACCGGUGGCGAAGGCGGGACUCUGGGCCGAUACUGACGCUGAGGAGCGAAAGCGUGGGGAGCAAACAGG